rnacentral:rRNA from 1 species
GUGAGGAAUUUUCCGCAAUGGGCGAAAGCCUGACGGAGCAAUGCCGCGUGAAGGAUGAAGGCCUAUGGGUUGUAAACUUCUUUUCUUAGAGAAGAAUAUUGACGGUAUCUGAGGAAUAAGCAUCGGCUAACUCUGUGCCAGCAGCCGCGGUAAGAAAGAGGAUGAAAGAGUUAUCCGGAAUGAUUGGGCGUAAAGCGUCUGUAGGUGGCUUCAAAAGUCUCCUGUCAAAGAUCAGGGCUUAACCCUGGGCCGGCAGGAGAAACUCUGAGGCUAGAGUUUGGUAGGAGCAGAGGGAAUUCCCGGUGGAGCAGUGAAAUGCGUAGAGAGCGGGAGGAACACCAAAGGCGACAGCACUCUGCUGGGCCACAACUGACACUGAGAGACGAAAGCGAGGGGAGCAAAAGGGAUUAGAAACCCUGGUAGUCC